rnacentral:rRNA from 1 species
GACGAACGCUGGCGGCGUGCUUAACACAUGCAAGUCGAACGGUGAACCUGCUUCGGUGGGGGAUCAGUGGCGAACGGGUGAGUAACACGUGGGCAACCUGCCCUCAGCUCUGGGAUAACUCCAAGAAAUUGGGGCUAAUACUGGAUAUGACCGCUGACCGCAUGGUCUGGUGGUGGAAAGAUUUAUCGGCUGGGGAUGGGCCCGCGGCCUAUCAGCUUGUUGGUGGGGUAGUGGCCUACCAAGGCGACGACGGGUAGCCGGCCUGAGAGGGUGACCGGCCACACUGGGACUGAGACACGGCCCAGACUCCUACGGGAGGCAGCAGUGGGGAAUAUUGCGCAAUGGGCGAAAGCCUGACGCAGCGACGCCGCGUGGGGGAUGACGGCCUUCGGGUUGUAACCUCUUUCAGCAGGGACGAAGCGAAAGUGACGGUACCUGCAGAAGAAGCACCGGCCAACUACGUG